AGUGAACGCUGGCGGUAGGCCUAACACAUGCAAGUCGAACGGCAGCACAGUAAGAGCUUGCUCUUACGGGUGGCGAGUGGCGGACGGGUGAGGAAUACAUCGGAAUCUACUUUUUCGUGGGGGAUAACGUAGGGAAACUUACGCUAAUACCGCAUACGACCUACGGGUGAAAGCAGGGGAUCUUCGGACCUUGCGCGAUUGAAUGAGCCGAUGUCGGAUUAGCUAGUUGGCGGGGUAAAGGCCCACCAAGGCGACGAUCCGUAGCUGGUCUGAGAGGAUGAUCAGCCACACUGGAACUGAGACACGGUCCAGACUCCGACGGGAGGCAGCAGUGGGAAUAUUGGACAAUGGGCGCAAGCCUGAUCCAGCCAUACCGCGUGGGUGAAGAAGGCCUUCGGGUUGUAAAGCCCUUUUGUUGGGAAAGAAAAGCAGCAGGUUAAUACCCCGCUGUUCUGACGGUACCCAAAGAAUAAGCACCGGCUAACUUCGUG
rnacentral:rRNA from 1 species